AAGCAGACACGGUUUUACCGGGCCAGCGUCGAAAAGGGGGGAGGAACAAGAACUCGAGAAUGUGGCGCGCACCUUCGGGUGCGCGUGUUAUAGCUCGUGUUGACGCCUCCAUCCCUUUUCGAGGCCUGCGAUUCUAGGACGCUGGCGUAAUGGUUGCAAGCCGCCCGUCUUGA
rnacentral:rRNA from 1 species